rnacentral:rRNA from 1 species
AGAGUUUGAUCCUUGCUCAGGAUGAACGCUGGCGGCGUGCUUAACACAUGCAAGUCGAACGAAGCGCCUUGGACAGAUUCUUCGGAUGAAGUCUUUGGUGACUGAGUGGCGGACGGGUGAGUAACGCGUGGGUAACCUGCCUCAUACAGGGGGAUAACAGUUAGAAAUGGCUGCUAAUACCGCAUAAGCGCACGGUACUGCAUGGUACAGUGUGAAAAACUCCGGUGGUAUGAGAUGGACCCGCGUUGGAUUAGCUAGUUGGCAGGGUAACGGCCUACCAAGGCGACGAUCCAUAGCCGGCCUGAGAGGGUGGACGGCCACAUUGGGACUGAGACACGGCCCAGACUCCUACGGGAGGCAGCAGUGGGGAAUAUUGCACAAUGGGGGAAACCCUGAUGCAGCAACGCCGCGUGAGUGAAGAAGUAUUUCGGUAUGUAAAGCUCUAUCAGCAGGGAAGAUAAUGACGGUACCUGACUAAGAAGCUCCGGCUAAAUACGUGCCAGCAGCCGCGGUAAUACGUAUGGAGCAAGCGUUAUCCGGAUUUACUGGGUGUAAAGGGUGCGUAGGCGGCAAGGCAAGUCAGAUGUGAAAGACCGGGGCUCAACCCCGGGACUGCAUUGGAAACUGUCAAUCUAGAGUACCGGAGGGGUAAGCGGAAUUCCUAGUGUAGCGGUGAAAUGCGUAGAGAUCGGGAGGAACACCAGUGGCGAAGGCGGCCUACUGGGCUUUAACUGACGCUGAGGCACGAAAGUGUGGGUAGGCAAACAGGGAUUUAGAUACCCUGGUAGUCCACACUGUAAACGAUGAUUACUAGGUGUGGGGGGUCUAACCCCCUCCGUGCCGGAAGUUUAACACAAAUAAGUAAUCCACCUGGGGAGUACGACCGCAAGGUUGAAACUCAAAGGAAUUGACGGGGGCCCGCACAAGCAGUGGAGUAUGUGGUUUAAUUCGACGCAACGCGAAGAACCUUACCAGGUCUUGACAUCCAACUAACGAAGCAGAGAUGCAUUAGGUGCCCUUCGGGGAAAGUUGAGACAGGUGGUGCAUGGUUGUCGUCAGCUCGUGUCGUGAGAUGUUGGGUUAAGUCCCGCAACGAGCGCAACCCUUGUGAUUAGUUGCUACGCAAGAGCACUCUAAUCAGACUGCCGUUGACAAAACGGAGGAAGGUGGGGACGACGUCAAAUCAUCAUGCCCCUUAUGACCAGGGCUACACACGUGCUACAAUGGCGUAAACAAAGGGAAGCAAAGCUGUGAGGCCGAGCAAAUCCCAAAAAUAACGUCUCAGUUCGGAUUGUAGUCUGCAACUCGACUACAUGAAGCUGGAAUCGCUAGUAAUCGCGAAUCAGAAUGUCGCGGUGAAUACGUUCCCGGGUCUUGCACACACCGCCCGUCA